rnacentral:pre_miRNA from 1 species
AGUGGAAUAGCUGGGUCAAAUGGUGGUUCCAUUUCCAAAUUUCUGAGGAAUCUCCAUACUGUUUUCCAUAGUGGCUGCACCAAUUUGCAGUCUCACCAGAAAU